UAGGGAAUCUUCCACAAUGGACGCAAGUCUGAUGGAGCAACGCCGCGUGAGUGAAGAAGGUUUUCGGAUCGUAAAGCUCUGUUGUUGGUGAAGAAGGAUAGAGGUAGUAACUGGCCUUUAUUUGACGGUAAUCAACCAGAAAGUCACGGCUAACUACGUGCCAGCAGCCGCGGUAAUACGUAGGUGGCAAGCGUUGUCCGGAUUUAUUGGGCGUAAAGCGAGCGCAGGCGGAAGAAUAAGUCUGAUGUGAAAGCCCUCGGCUUAACCGAGGAACUGCAUCUGAAACUGUUUUUCUUGAGUGCAGAAGAGGUGAGUGGAAUUCCCUGUGUAGCGGUGGAAUGCGUAGAUAUAUGGAAGAACACCAGUGGCGAAGGCGACUCUCUGGUCUGCAACUGACGCUGAGGCUCGAAAGCAUGGGUAGCGAACAGG
rnacentral:rRNA from 1 species